rnacentral:rRNA from 1 species
UUUGAUCAUGGCUCAGAACGAACGCUGGCGGCAGGCUUAACACAUGCAAGUCGAACGGUUGUAGCAAUACAGCAGUGGCAGACGGGUGAGUAACACGUGGGAACCUUCCUAGGGGUACGGAACAACUCAGGGAAACUUGAGCUAAUACCGUAUACGUCCGUGAGGAGAAAGAUUUAUCGCCCUUAGACGGGCCCGCGUCGGAUUAGCUAGUUGGUGGGGUAACGGCCUACCAAGGCGACGAUCCGUAGCUGAUCUUAGAGGAUGAUCAGCCACACUGGGACUGAGACACGGCCCAGACUCCUACGGGAGGCAGCAGUGGGGAAUCUUGGACAAUGGGCGCAAGCCUGAUCCAGCCAUGCCGCGUGAGUGAAGAAGGUCUUCGGAUUGUAAAGCUCUUUUGCCAGGGACGAUAAUGACGGUACCUGGAGAAUAAGCCCCGGCAAACUUCGUG